rnacentral:rRNA from 1 species
GUAGGUGGCAAGCGUUGUCCGGAAUUAUUGGGCGUAAAGCGCGCGCAGGUGGUUCUUUAAGUCUGAUGUGAAAGCCCCCGGCUCAACCGGGGAGGGUCAUUGGAAACUGGGGAGCUUGAGUGCAGGAGAGGAAAGUGGAAUUCCACGUGUAGCGGUGAAAUGCGUAGAUAUGUGAGGAACACCAGUGGCGAAGGCGACUUUCUGGCCUGUAACUGACACUGAGGCGCGAAAGCGUGGGGAGCAAACAGGGAUUAGAUACCCUGGUAGUCCACGCCGUAAACGAUGAGUGCUAAGUGUUGGGGGGGUUUCCGCCCCCUCAGUGCUGCAGCUAACGCAUUAAGCACUCCGCCUGGGAGUACGGUCGCAAGACUG